AUUGAACGCUGGCGGCAGGCCUAACACACGCAAGUCGGACGGUAGCACAGAGGAGCUUGCUCCUCGGGUGACGAGUGGCGGACGGGUGAGUAAUGUCUGGGGAUCUGCCCGAUAGAGGGGGAUAACCACUGGAAACGGUGGCUAAUACCGCAUGACGUCGCAAGACCAAAGAGGGGGACCUUCGGGCCUCUCACUAUCGGAUGAACCCAGAUGGGAUUAGCUAGUAGGCGGGGUAACGGCCCACCUAGGCGACGAUCCCUAGCUGGUCUGAGAGGAUGACCAGCCACACUGGAACUGAGACACGGUCCAGACUCCUACGGGAGGCAGCAGUGGGGAAUAUUGCACAAUGGGCGCAAGCCUGAUGCAGCCAUGCCGCGUGUAUGGAGAAGGCCUUCGGGUUGUAAAGUACUUUCAGCGGGGAGGAAGGCGAUGUGGUUAAUAACCGCGUCGAUUGACGUUACCCGCAGAAGAAGCACCGGCUAACUCCGUGCCAGCCGCCGCCGUAA
rnacentral:rRNA from 1 species